rnacentral:tRNA from 1 species
UCCCUGGUGGCUCAGCAGUAAAGAAUCUGCCUGCAAUGCAGGUGACCCAGGUUGGAUCCCUGGAUCGGGAA